rnacentral:rRNA from 1 species
GACGAACGCUGGCGGCGUGCCUAAUACAUGCAAGUAGAACGCUGAAGAGAGGAGCUUACUCUUCUUGGAUGAGUUGCGAACGGGUGAGUAACGCGUAGGUAACCUGCCUUGUAGCGGGGGAUAACUAUUGGAAACGAUAGCUAAUACCGCAUAACAAUGGCUGACACAUGUCAUUUAUUUGAAAGGGGCAAUUGCUCCACUACAAGAUGGACCUGCGUUGUAUUAGCUAGUAGGUGAGGUAAUGGCUCACCUAGGCGACGAUACAUAGCCGACCUGAGAGGGUGAUCGGCCACACUGGGACUGAGACACGGCCCAGACUCCUACGGGAGGCAGCAGUAGGGAAUCUUCGGCAAUGGGGGCAACCCUGACCGAGCAAAGCCGCGUGAGUGAAGAAGGUUUUCGGAUCGUAAAGCUCUGUUGUAAGUCAAGAACGGGUGUGAGAGUGGAAAGUUCACACUGUGACGGUAGCUUACCAGAAAGGGACGGCUAACUACGUG